GUCCCUGUAGCGCAAUGUAAAGCGCGUUGGACUUCUAAUCCAGAGGUCGUGGUUUCGAAUCCCACCUGGGAUG
rnacentral:tRNA from 1 species